AUUUCUGUUCAUUUACACAUUCUUUGCCUAAGCUUGAAACCCUCAAGGUUCCCUCUUCAUCUUCGUCUUGUGCUGUCGCUGCACCUGCUCCUCCAUCUGCCCAAUAGUCAUCGUUGGGGUUAAUCGCUAGUUUUUGGCCGUGUGUUGCUUUCAACUCUUUCCAUUUCUUUACAAUUAGCUCUUUAUCCAGUAAGAUUUUCACUCGAUUCGAUUUUGAAAUUGUUCUUAUUUUUUUUCUUGAUUCACUUCGAUCUGUUUCGUCUAUUGCUUAUAACUCUUAGCUUUUUUUGGAAUUAAAAGAAUGGUCUCCAUCUGCACAAGAACUAUUUUCUGUUUUUAGUUUCUUGACAUCCCUAGAUUUUGAUAUCUCAGUUAUUUAUAAAUCGCAGGGAGCUUUUGCCUUGAAGAAGUAGAGAAGUCCUACAAGCCGGUUGUCUCUUUUGAUAUACCUGCUCUCCCUGGCACUUUCAUUUCCUUUGUGCGUGUGUAUAUAUGGAAAUGUUACAUUUGUGGAACUAUUUAUUUGGAUUUUCAUUUUGUAUUAGAGGAAUAUUUAACGGGCCAUCAAUUUUAUUGUUGAAAUUUGAAGUUUUUGACUGCUGCAAAUGUCUGAUUUUGGCUUGGUUAGUGAUGUUGGAUAUAGAUUCUUUUUGUUUAUUUUAAUGGUUGGAAUUACAGUUUGAUUGAAGUGUGAAGUUUCAAAUGAGACAAUGAAUUUGAGUUUAUGAAGUUUAUUAAUUUGGUACUUACAAAUAUAGAAAGUUAUGAAAUUGUUGGGAUUAAUUUAUUUGGAUUUUAAUUUUUGUUAGUUUAGAUUUCAGUGUCUAUUUGACCAGUAGAAUUGAAAGCUCUAUUAAUUGAGUCAGUCUUGGCUUUACUACAGUGAUUGGUGUUACUAAGAAUAUGUGAAGCUUUAUUUAGGAUUCAAAUUUGUACACUAAUUUUCCAAACAUGGUGACGGGCUGAUGGGGUUGAGCUAUUGAGGAACUUCUCUAUUUAUAUACUUCUAUAAGAAAAAUCUUUCUUUAGAACUGAAUGAUUGCUAACAAUGCUAGUAAUAUUUUUUGAACAUGUAACGCCUCGCGCUUCAUUCUCGUAAGUAUUAUGUCCGAAUAGAUUAUGUAUUUGGAAUGUUGCAUAUGAUUUACAUGAUAGAUUUUAUACUUCCUUAAUGUUUAUUUAAUGUGUACUUAAUAAUUUUAUUGUUAUUGUGAUUAAUUUUGUCUUGCAAUAGAAUCAACAUUGCAUGCUCUAAACGAUUAACGCGCCAAUAAAUUUAAUUAUGAUAGGUCUAUAAUUGAAUAAUAUAAUAUAGUAUUUUACUAUGUGUUCAUGAAUAAUUUAACUCCUAGGUCGAACCUAGAUAACAAGUUAGAAUAUUAUGCAUCGACUUAAUAAGUGAAUAUUUUUCUAUAAUUUAAUAUGGAAAUAAUAUUUAAACGUCAUAUAACCCCUAUUAUAAAUACAUAUAAUCUCUGUAUUUAAAUACAUUACACUGAUUUCUUUGGGUUUUCUUACAUGGUGCAGGUUCUACUUUUGAAUUAUCUAUUCAAUUGAGUCAACCGAAGCAAAUGCUGUUAGCGUCGAGGGAACCAAACUAGAUGCUACCAACGUUGAUGAGUUGUCCAAAAACUGCUCAGAUGUGGUUACCACCAAUGCUCUACCGCCAUUUCAACCUCGAUCCUUCAAGGUGAAGCUGCCAAGUGCUAGCACUCGGACUCCUUGCACACAGUCCAAUCAUAAAAAGGGUAAAAGGGGUGUGUAGUUAGUUUACAAUAUUGGUAGAGCAUGGCAUUGUGUGUCUUGGAAAAAAUUUAUAACCUCAUUCUGUGUACCAUAGUUAGACAGAUUUUUUGGUCGAUGGUACAAUUCUCAUUGUUGAUGUAGAAUUAAAAUUGAGACAAAUAUUUUAAUUCAGUAUGUACAUGUUGUCCAAGACAUAUAUAUUGUGCAC
rnacentral:lncRNA from 1 species